UACGAAGGACCCGAGCGUUAUCCGGAUUUAUUGGGUUUAAAGGGUGCGUAGGCGGACUGAUAAGUCAGCGGUGAAAUCCCACGGCUCAACUGUGGAACUGCCGUUGAUACUGUUAGUCUUGAAUGCAGAUGAUGUGGGCGGAAUAUGACAUGUAGUGGUGAAAUACUUAGAUAUGUCAUAGAACACCGAUUGCGAAGGCAGCUCACAAAACUGUGAUUGACGCUGAGGCACGAAAGCGUGGGGAGCAAACAGG
rnacentral:rRNA from 1 species